AACUUACAUUUCUUUCUGUUCCUCACACAAAACUAUCGCAAUACCGCGUCAAGUCGUCUGGGCAACUUUUUGAAGAAAGAAUGUCAUACAGGGUUGAAACAACGUGGUCAACAAACCUCCACAAGAUGGCGGUGAUUCCCAACUGUUCACUUCAGGAAGACAAAGAGAAGGUCCUCUCUUUCUACU